GUUAUACUCCCUCCGUUCGAAAAAACUUGUCCCGAACUUGUUACUCAAAUGGAUGUAUCUAGCACUAACUUGGUGCUAGAUACAUCCAUUUAAGGGACAAGUUUUUUCGGACAGAGGAAGUAUGAU
rfam:Triticum urartu cultivar G1812 contig1112295, whole genome shotgun sequence.